rnacentral:misc_RNA from 1 species
AGAAGAAGAAGAAGAAGAAUAUAAUAAAGAAGAUUAUUAAAGUUUUGGUGCGUGCGUGAAUGAAAAUUGAACGCGUUUACGUUGGCAGCAAUGGAAAUCUCGUUGGAAUGGAAUUUUUGACUGAAAUUGAAUUGAAUAAUGGAAAAAUGCCAAGGGGAGAAGGAAACUUAAAGGAAGGAUUGACUAUUCUAAAAUAUACUAGAAAAUUAAAUUAAAUUAAAAAAGUGUGAUGAAUUGAAGGUGUUUGUGUAAAUGUAAAGAUUUGAUGAAGGUGGUGGAGAGUGGAGGAAGGGGAGACAUGACGCUGACAUCAACUCUUUCGUCCCCGCCCACCUUGGCCUCGUCUGAGUUCGG